rfam:Camelus ferus unplaced genomic scaffold scaffold1841, whole genome shotgun sequence.
AAGGGUAUAGCUCAGUGGUAGAGUGUUUGCUUGGCACGCAUGAGGUCCUGGGUUCAAUCCCCAGUACCUCCA